rnacentral:rRNA from 1 species
ACGAAUGGGGCAAGCGUUGUUCGGAAUCACUGGGCUUAAAGCGUGCGUAGGCGGAUUUGCAAGUCAGGAGUGAAAUCCCCGGGCUCAACCCGGGAAUUGCUUUUGAAACUGCAAAUCUAGAAUACUGAAGAGGUUAGCAGAAUUCCGAGUGUAGAGGUGAAAUUCGCAGAUAUUCGGAGGAAUACCAAUGGCGCAGGCAGCUAACUGGGCAGUUAUUGACGCUGAGGCACGAAAGCGUGGGGAGCAAACAGGA